UCUGGCUUAUUGGCGCGGUGGUCACUGACCCCAUGCCGAACUCAGAAGUGAAACGCCGUAGCGCCGAUGGUAGUGUAGGGUCUCCCCAUGCGAGGAAGUGGGGAACUGCCAGAC
rnacentral:rRNA from 1 species